AUCAACCCCACUCACACCUUUCUUCCACCCUCCCACGCAUGGCUCAGGUCUACUGUCUCGCAAGAGGUGAUGCUUAGAUUCUGUGUGUGUCCUCCACAGCUCUGCCUUUCUCUCGACGGCUGAUGCAUGCUGGGAGCUGGUACACUGGACUCUCUUUUCUGGGAGAAUGGAGUCUGCCUCAAAGAUUGCCAGUCCCUCUGUCUUUGUGUGCUGCUGAGGUUGUGGUGUGUAAAUCUGGGGCAGCAGGGCAGAUGCCUGUCACCAAGACAACGCAGAGUAAGAAGCAGGGACCCGCCCAGUGGAUCCUUUUUAAUCUGUUUCCUUGCUUUGACUCUUCCUCAGGUCUCACUGUGUUCCUGAAACGGAGCUUUACGACUUACGUAAUUCCUGCGUCUGCCCAUUUCACCGGGUGUCAUCUCGUGCAGCCCAGUGUUAUCUUCGCUAUUUCAGGGCUGGAGCGAUGGCUCAGUGGUUAGAGCAUGUGUUACUCCUUCAGAGGACCAGAGUUCAGUUUCAUCUGAGCGUGGAUUUAAGGGGUGUACCAGACAAGGAAGUCGUGUAGCCGGGGAGAUGACAAAGCCACAGAUCACCAGGAGAAAGGCUGAACUCGCACAGUUUGCAGAGUUUCAGUUGCCCACAGCCUACAAGCAGGGACAAGAGAGGGCAAGAUUUUACAGGACUGUGAGGAGGAGCUACAUCAAAAGGCCAAGGCCACCGCCUGUAUUGUCCGUUUCCGAGGCCUCAGUGUGUGGGGAGUGGUGCUUGCGGCAAAGCUCUGUGCUGCUGUGUUUGAGUCUGGGAAGUCAGGUCAGAGGCGAGCGUGCUUCCUGUGCAUUUUAUAUUUGUUUGCUUAUCGAGACAGAAUCUCACGUGGUCCAAGAUGGCCUCAAAUUCUUUGCGUAAGAGGGAGCACUAGAGAGGGGUCUAGCUCUAGUGGAUCAAUGCCUUUAGCCUUAGUGAGUGUCUAUAGUCACCUCUCUCUCUCUCUCUCUCUCUCUCUCUCUCUCUCUCUCACACACACACACACACAGACACCCACACAGACACACACACAGACUCACACACACAGACUCACACACACAGACACAUAACAGACUCACACAAACAGACUCAUACAGACACACAGAGACACACACACAGACUCACACACACAGACUCACACACACAGACACAUAACAGACUCACACAAACAGACUCACACAGACACACACAGACACACAGAGACACACACACAGACACACACAGAGAGAGGCACAAACACAGACACACACACAGACAUAAACACAGAGAGACACAGACACACACACACAGAAACACACAGAGACACACACAGACACACACAAACAGACUUAUACAGACACACACAGACACACACAGACACACACACAGACUCACACACACAGAAACACACACAGACUCACACAAACAGACUCACACAGACACACACAGACAUACACAGACACACACACAGAUACACACAGAGAGAGGCACAAACACAGACACACACACAGACAAACACAGAGAGACACACAGACACACACACACAGAAACACACAGAGACACACACAGACACACACACACAGACACACAGAGACACACACAGAGAGAGACACAUACAGAGACACACACAGACACACACAGACUCACACACACACACACGCACACACGCACAAACACACACUCUUACAAACUCUAUAGCUGGAGCAGGCCUUGAACUCCUAAUUCUGCCGCUUUUACCUCCCUGAGGGCUACCAUCCCAAGUAACAAGACAUUCCUUUUGCUGUUGUUAUUGUUUAGAUAAGGUCUUAUGUAGGUAGCCCAGGAUGGCCCUGAAGUUUAUAUGUAUCCAAGGACAACGCCCUUCAAAUUCUGGUCCCCCUGCCUCCGCCUCCUAAGUGCUGGGAUUUCAGGCAAGCACUCCCAUGCCUGUUUUAUGUGGAGCUAGGAAUGGAUCCCAGGGUCUCGAGCAGGGUAGACAAGUGCUCCCCGAGCUGAGCCCCAGCAUCUAUCAUGGGGUUCGUCCUAGUCCAAGCCCGUUUACGUUCUCUGCCUCCUUUCCCCUUUGUCUUCCAGAACACCGGUUACUCAUGCAUCCUCAGCGGCAAAGUCCUCACUCCACACCUUGUGCUGUGAGGAGUUUCCACGCGCAAUCGCUGUGUUUCCCGGCGUAAUAUUAAGCUAAGUGGAGAGACGUGGGGUUCAUUUGCUCUACCUCCAUCCUCGUCACCCAACAGAGGAGCAAAGUUUGUGUGUGAAGCACAUGAAUGGAGAACCAGAAGAAGCCAGAAGAGGGCAUCAAAUCCCCUGUGAGCUGCCGUGUGGGCGCUGGGAGUGGAGCCUGUGUCCUUUUUUUUUUUUUUUUUUUAAAGAUUUAUUUAUUUUAUGUGACUACACUGUCACUGUCUUCAGAGACACCAGAAGAGGGCAUCUGAUCUCAUUACAGAUGGUUGUGAGCCACCAUGUGGUUGCUGGGAAUUGAACUCAGGACCUCUGGAAGAGCAGUCAGUGCUCCUAACCACUGAGCCAUCCCUCCAGCCCCGGAGCCUGUGUCCUUAACCAGUGUUUGAAAAGUUUUUAAGGAUCUCACUAUGUAGCUCUGGGUGUCCUGGAACUCACUAUGUAGACCAGGCUAGCCUCUAACUCACAGAGAUCUGUCUGCCUCUGCCUCUGAGUGCUGGAAUUAAAGUUGUGAGCCACUAUGCCUGGCCAGGACUUGAAAAUCUUUAAGGAAAGGAUAAAGCUUCGGGUUAUCUGCCUGUUUAUCUAUCAUUCAAUCUAUCCACUCUAUCUAUCCAUCUAUCUAUCUAUCCACUCUAUCUAUCCAUCUAUCUAUCUAUCUAUCUAUCAUUCUAUCUAUCCACUCUAUCUAUCUAUCAUUCUAUCCAUCCACUCUAUCUAUCUAUCUUAUCUAUCUACCCACCCUAUCUAUCUAUCUAUCUAUCUAUCUAUCUAUCUAUCUAUCUUAUCUAUCUACCCACCCUAUCUAUCUAUCUAUCUAUCUAUCUAUCUAUCUAUCUAUCUAUCAUUCUAUCCUAUCUAUCUUUCUUUCUUUCUCUCUCUUCUUUCUUUCUUUCUUUCUUUCUUUCUUUCUUUCUUUCUUUCUCUCUUUCCUUCUUUCUUUCUAUCCAGCUGUGGUAUGGUUUUCUUUCUUAUGAGAAAGAAUUCUAAGGUAAUAUAUUAGGAAAGAAAAUGUUUCUAUGUUUUGGUUAACAAAGUAGAAUUUAUUUACAAUUAAUGUAAUUUAAAAAAUUAUGGGGCUGGAGAGAUGGCUCAGUGAUUAAGAGCACUGACUGCUCUUCCAGAGGUCCUGAGUUCAAAUCCCAGCAACCACAUGGUGGCUCACAACCAUCUAUAAUGGGAUCGGAUGCCCUCUUCUGGUGUGUCUGAAGAGAGCGACAGUGUCCUCACAUAAAAUAGAUAAAUAAAUUUUUAAAAAAUAAAUUAUGGUGGGCAUAGUGGGUCAUGACUAUAAUCCCAGCACUUGGGAAGUAGAGGCAGGAGGAUGAGGAAUUCAAGUCCCUCCUUAGUCUGUUAUCAUCAAAGUGUCUCAAGAAAACCCCAAACUCCUUGGUUAUUUAAUGUGUGUGUGUGUGUGUGUGUGUGUGUGUGUGUGUGUGUGUGUGUGUCGGUCAGAGGACAACUCAUAGUGGUCAGUUCUCUCCUUUAACUCUGUGGGUUCUGUGGAUCAAACUCGGUAGUCAAGUUUGGCAGGAGCCGCCUUUUCUGGUGAAUCACACAGAUGACCUUACAGUCUAAAGUUUAGACCUUAAUACGGUUUGACCUUGGCUGGGCUUGGUGGCUCCUGCUUUUUUUUUUUUUUUUUUUUUUUGGUUCUUUUUUUCAGAGCUGGGGAUUGAACCCAGGGCCUUGCGCUUCCUAGGCAAGCGCUCUACCACUGAACUAAAUCCCCAACCCUGGUGGCUCUGGCUCGUGCUUUUAACCUCAGCACUCAGGGGGAGGAUACAGAGGCGUGAACGUGCAGCUCGCUGUGAGUUUCAGGGCUAGCCAGGGCUACAUAGUGAGAUCCUGGCUAAACAAACAAACAAACAAAUAAUACGUAAUUAUUUGAAAUGUCACCAUAAAUGUAAACGAAGGCAGGUGGGAAGCCCUGGGCUUCAUCCUCAGCACCACAGAAACCAAGCACUUACACCUGCAAUCCCAGCACUUGGGAGGUGGGGGCAGGGCCUGCAGGAGUUCCAGCUCACCUGUGGCUAUGUAGCGGUUCAAGGUGUCUCGGGAGAAAGAAAGUACUCUCUGGAACUCACUGUCCUCCUUUCUUUUCUUUUCUUUUCUUUUCUUUUCUUUUCUUUUCUCUUCUUUUCUUUCUUUCUUUUUUUUUUUUUUUUUCGGAGCUGGGGGCCGAACCCAGGGCCUUGCGCUUGCUAGGCAAGCGCUCUACCACUGAGCUAAAUCCCCAACCCCAUCACUGUCCUCUUAAACUUGAACUUUGAACUUGAGUCGUCCCAGACUGAAGAGAGGGAGCAGGCAGGACUCGUGAGCCUCUCAUCUGUGUAAUCUAGUAAGCAACUCGGCCUCACAGAUUGGAGUCUGUGGAGGAAAUCAAAAUGCCCAAACUUCUUUUGCCUUUUUAAAAAAAUUUCUAUGUGUGUAUGUCAUGCAUGUGUGUGUAUGAUACAUUGUGUGAUGCAUGUGUGUAUCAUGCAUAUGUGUGUAUGUAUGAUGCAUGUGUGAUACAUGUGUGUGAUGUAUGUAUGUAUCAUGUAUGCAUAUGUGUGAUGUAUGUGUGUACCAUGCAUGUGUGUGUAUGAUGCAUGUGGAUGUAUGAUACAUGUGUGUGAUGCAUGUGUGUAAUACAUGUGUGUGAUGAAUGUGUGUAUCAUGCAUGCAUGUGUGUGCAUGCAUGUGUGUGUAUGAUGUGUGUGUGUAUGUGUGUGUGUGUGAUAUGCAUGUGCGUGUAUGAGUGUCUGCAAGUUUGGGAGCAUGCAUGAGGUGGGUGUGCAUGCCUGAGGGUGCAUGUGCUUGUAGAGAGGCUGACUGGUGAUUCUAUGUGGCUCUUCCUCCUUGUUCAGUGAAGCAGGAUCACUCAGUCAGGUGCACACCUCAUCUCCAUGGCUAUUCUUGCUAACCAGUUUGCUCUGGGGAAUCCCCUGUCUCAGCCUUUCCCCACAGUGGGAAGGCUCCACUGUGCCCUCCUGGUCUCCUGGGGAUCUGAACUCAGAUCCUUGACACACUCAGCAACACUCGGUCCUCGAAAGCUGACUUGGCCGAUGACUGGAUGAAGAAAGGACAGAAAUGCUGUGUCCUGGUGGGCCAAGCUGGCUCUGACGGGGCAGCACCAACUAAGUAGCAGUGGGACCCUCACACCUCCUCAGGGCCUUCACAUGCACACCAUGAGGAGAAGGGGUCAGUUGGGGAGCUCUGUAUAGAGGGGCAGUUUCAGGCUGUAAAUGUCUGAGGAGGGGCUUAGGCCAUGUUUUCAAUACACUGUCAGCAUUUGAACAGGGGCCAGAGGAAGGCUUUGCCAACUCCCAUGAGUCUGGGCCACUGGGUCCCUGUGGAUAACACACACUUACCGAAGACUUCGCCUGGUCCUUACGCAUUCACAAGGCUGACUGGGCUCCCCGCAGCUUCCACACAAGCACUUUAGCCACUGAAACAUUUUCCUUAGCUGCAUACCAACUUCGUUGUCUUCGUUGCUACCUAAGAGCCCACCGCAGUGAGGGUCUGGGUUUCUUUAAAAACCCAGGGAUGUCAUGUAAACGUGUUUUUGUUUCAAUCCCAGGUGAGGGAUCUGGGGCUGCUUCCUUCAGACUGUCCUCGGCAGCUCUGGAGAGGGUAUAAACGCCACAGCCCCGAGAAGGCUGUGUGUGUGUGUGUGUGUGUGUGUGUGUGUGUGUGUGUGUUCUGAAGAAGGAGGCACGGCUGUUCCUCCCGCUGCUUCCCGUUCCUGGUCUUGCUGUUGUUAGUGGUCAAGAGAAAAGAGACAGGAAGAAGUUGGAGAUAUCCUGUGGAGAUGAACAUUGGACUUGCCUUAAGGAACUCAGUGCCCCUAGUCAACAGGAAAUAGUUUAAGAGGUAUAUGCUCCCUUUUCCCUCUACCCUUCUUUCCCUUUUACCUGAUAUUGGGGUGUUAGAAGGGAUAAGGACUGAAAGGGAGGUAGGAAGGUGGAGAUAAAAGAACCCAAAUAAAGUAGCUAAAACAAAACAAAACAACAGUGCCAACACACCACGACCAAGGACAUUUAUAAGGAAAUUUAAUUGGGCUCAGAGUUUCAGAGGGGUUAGAGCACAGGGAAGAGCAAAGGCAGGGUAACAGGGACAGCUGAGAGACCUGAGAACAUGGUAGGAAUAAUGUCAGUCCUCCAAAACCCGUCUCUAGUGACACACUUCCUCCAACAAGCCACACCUCCCCAUCCUCCCAAAACAGUUCCACUAAGAGGGGACCAAGCAUUCAAACAUGAGCCUAUGGGAGCCAUUCUCAUUCAAACCCUGAUUUCUGCUCCUCAUCUGGUUUCUGGGAGAAAAGUCAGAUUGAGUUGACUUUAGAGAAAAUACUGCCUUCUAACCCAGGGCAAGAAAUAUACCUAUAUGAUAUUUGUAAUAUAUAUAGUCAAAUAUAUUUCUGUGUCUAUAUGACCCCUCUCGUACCUAGCACAGAAGACCCAUGCUCAAUGGACCCCUUCUUCUCCCAGAUCCAAGGGCUUAUCUUAAGGUUUUCACCUCAGGGCUUUCCAUUCUUUCAUGUCACAAUUGAGCUCUGAGUGAUUUUUCUCCGUGAGGGAUUCACAGGCUCUGAGUGGCCUAAUGCCAGCAUUCUGAUUCACAGCUUCCUGUGUGGGGUCUGACUUCCCCAGAAGGUCCCCGUGGACCUCCUCUUCUUCCUGCUGACUCAGGGAAGUGUUAUGCUUCCCCCUCCACCCCCAGCGUCCCAGGAGAAGAAAGCCAGACUCAGCAAAGCCAAGACCUGCAGCUCUGCAGGGUGAGACGCUUACAUGUGGACCAGCUGGGGAUGUUCCUUGCAGCUCCCUCGUGGGUGUCAUUGGAGUCCCUUGCUUUCUGUAAUAAUAAGGUCAGGUGGGGACAUACCUAAUGCUUCCAAGCUUUCUGAGGGCUCCAGGCCCCAGUCCCAGGAGUCCCUUCCACCCGAGUCUCACUGAAUCUCAAGCUUGCAGGGAGACUGGGCUUCCCACAAACCUUCCUAAGAAGGCCUCUGGGGGCCCAACUUUAUUAUGCUAUUAUUAUAAUUAAUUGGGGUUCAAUUUGCAUAUAACAAACUGCAAAGGUCAUAAUAAGUUUUAUGAGUUUCAACAAAAGUCUAAAUUUGUAUAACCACUGGCCCAUUGUCAUAGAACAUUUCAGCACAGCAGUAAAUCCCCUGCCUCUCCCAAUAGAAUCCCUCCCUUCCUGAGCCCUUCCACCAUGGUUAAGUUUAAAUGUUCUAGAGGAUAUUAGAAAUGGAAUCAGAUGGGCUGGAGAGAUGGCUCAGUGGUUAAGAGCACUGACUGCUCUCCCAGAGGUCCUGAGUUCAAGUCCCAGCAACUGCAUGGUGGCUCACACCAUCUGUAAUGGGAUCUGACGCCCUCUUCUGGUGUGUCUGAAGACAGUUAUAGUGUACUGUAAUACAUAAAAUAAAUAAAUCUUUAAAAAAAGAGAAAGAAAUGAAAUUGGACAAAAAGCUCAUUUUGGGGUCUGGCUUCUUUCAAUAUAGUAAUAUUUCUGAGAUAUCUCUUUUUUUCCUUAAAAUGUUUUUUGAAGCAGUUUUUUUGUUUUGUUUUGUUUUUUAAUGUAGCCCUAGUUGUCCUGGAACUCACUCUGUAGACCAGGCUGGCCUUAAACUCAGAGAUCCACCUGCCUCUGCCUCCUGAGUCCUGUGAUUAAAGGCCUGUGCCACCAGGCUUAGCUGGCUUUUUCUUAAGAAGGAGAAUCAGCUCCCUUGGGCCUGGAGUUGCAGGCAGUUGUGAGCUGUCCUGUAGAUUUGGGAAGAGAAAGAACGUAGGUCGUCCAGCAGAGCAGCCCCUGUGCUCUUAACCACUGAGCCAUCUCUCCAGCAUGGUCUUUGUUUUGUUUUUAUGAGACAGGGUAAAAAAUAGACAAGUUAGGCCUCAACCUUGUCAUCCCCCUGCCUCCGCUUCUUCGGUACUUUGAGGGUGAGAGUCCACUCCACACUGUAUAUUCUCCACAAGGCUGCUGUGUGUCUGAGCCUUCAUGUGUCCUGGUCACCAGACUGUGAGGUCAAGGACGUCAUGAGAGCAUCUCCCAUCAUUUCCCUCCGGCUCCUGCCCCGGUGGCAGAGCUUCCUGCUGGUUCUCUGGGCCCCACAUACUCCUGACUUUGGUUUUCACUGUGUCUUCCAACUGUCCACAAACCAUUCUCUCUACUUCCCCAGGUCCUGACUGAGAGGCUGCAACUUUACACAGAUCUCUCUGGACCCUAAGGACUGAAAAAGCAGAUUCCCCCAACACACACACACACACACACACACACACACACACACACACACACACAUACACAUUCACCCCCCACCCCCACCCCCCCGCCCUAUUCGGUCAUAUGACGGCUCAGCCUCUGCUUGUGUCUUUAAAUACUUUACAGAGAUGUAACCUACGCCUUACCAACCCAUGCCCACACAGUAAACCAUUCUGGUUUCCAGCUUACUCACAAUUACAUAAACUAACACCACAGUCAAUCUUAGACCAUCGUAUCACCCUAAAGAGAAACCCCAAACCUUCAGACGCUACCUCUUUCUCCUUGUCUCCGUGUUUCCUCGCCUUCAGGGGGUGCUUACCUAAUUUCUUCUUUUGUACAUCGGUCAAUCUAGGACAUUCUACAUAAAUGUCAUAAUACAGGAAUUGGGCCUUCAGCCUGGCUUUGUCCGAUUGAGGUUGUGUUUUCAAGUUAACCUUGUUUUGGUGGGUAUCGAUUAUUCAUCCCAUUGAUUGAUUGGCUUGUUCGGACAGGCUGUUGUGUAGUCUGGGCUGGCCUCAAACUCUCUGUGCAGCCACGGGAUGACCUUUGUUAUUUUCUUUGUCAACCUGACAUGAGCUAGAGUCAUCUGGGAAGAAGAAACUUUAAUUGAAGGAUUACCUCCUGUGGGGCAUUUCCUUGGUUAAUGAUUGAUGCCGGAUGGUCCAGCCCACUGUGGGCGGUACCACUCCUAGGAAACCUAGGUAGGCAGUUCUGGGUCUAUAAUAAAACAGACUGCAGGGGUUGGGGAUUUAGCUCAGCGGUAGACUGCUUGCCUAGCAAGCGCAAGGUCCUGGGUUCGGUCCCCAGCUCCAAAAAAAAAAAAAAAAAAAAAGAAACCAGACUGCAAACUCACUCAGCCCCAGUCCCAUCAUCCACCCUUCCUCCCUCUGUUCAUGGGCCAAUUCUAGAGUUCUACGUAAAUGUAACAACACAAUAUCUGGGCCUUUGACCGGGCUUUGCCCAGUUGAUGCAGUGUUUUCUGAUUUUAACCUUGUUAUCUCUUCCGUGCACAGACAACUUUUUCGUUCUGUCUCACUGUUCAUCCGUCAUGGGCGCUGGGUGGUUUCCGCCUUCUGACAGUUCUCAGUCAUGCUGCUGUUCCACCGACCCACAAACCCUUCUCUGCUUUCGUUUCUUGUGAGGAUUUAGAUAUGAGUGGAUUUCCUAGGGGGUACGGCUUAUUGGUUUGCUUUUUUUCUAUUGUUAUGAAAUACUGUCUCAGGGUUUUAUUGCUGUGAAGAGACACCAUGACCAAGGCAACUCUUACAAAGGAAAACAUUUAAUUUGGGGGCAGGCUUUCAGAUUCAGAGGUUCAGCCCAUUAUGGUCAUGGCAGGAAACAUGGCAGUGUGCAGGCAGGUAUGGCGCUGGAGGAGCUGGGAACUCCACAUCCUGAUCCAAAGGCAGCAGAAGGAAACUGUAGCUUGAUCCAAAGGCAGCAGAAGGAAACUGUAGCUUGAGCUCAGGAGACCUCAAAGCCCGCCCCCACAGUGACGCACUUCCUCCAACAAGGCCACACCCACUCUGACAAGGCCACACCUCCCAAUACUGCCACUCCCUAUGGACCAAGCAUUAAACACAGUGGUGUAUGGGGGCCAUACCUAUUCAAACCACUAAUUCCCAAGGCAGGCUACUGCUAUAAAGAAAAGGAGUUUGUUUGGCUCACGGUUUUGAAAUUCCAAGAGCACGGAACCAACACUGGAUGGGCCCCAGUUGGGUCGUUUUUGUGGCGCAAGCACAGUAUAGAGAAGAGGUCCGGUUGCCCAGUGGAAGCCACAGAGAGGCUGGUGUCUCACAGCCCCUUCUGAGGGGAGCACACUGAUGGGCUCCGUUAGGCUCUGUCCACCCUUCACAGCCUCCCGCCGCUGAUGAUGAAAUGAAACAACUCAAACUAGAUUAGAUUAUACACUAAAGGCAAGUUUAUUGAGAAGCUGCUCUUCGGUGGGCGAGUUCACUGGCCCCAAGGGCCAAGGUCAGGUAAGUCACCAAGGGGAAAGGGAAUGGGGGCAAUAGAGUAGGGAAAGAGAGAGAGAGAGAGAGAGAGAGAGAGAGAGAGAGAGAGAGAGAGAGAGAGAGCACUUGCAGAGAGAGAAGAGAAGGGGGCCGGCAAAAUGUCUGGAUUAUAUAGGGAAGAGCCUCUGGGGUAAGGGUGGUCCAGCUCCUGGGCUGGGAUCUUCAAGUUGGGGGCAGGGUAUCCCAGGUAGGGACUGAGGGAUGCUGGGAGAGCCUGGAGGCAGGCCUGCUUUGGUAUGUAAAUUUUGUACCUCAGUCCUCUGUCCUGGAGUCCAAAACCAGACAGCUUCUUUCUGCUACCACCGGAGUACCAAGCUUCUAGUACAGGGUGUCACAAUGGCUAAUGACUCCACAUAUAGGCAGAAAUAACCCAUCUACUCUUUAUUUAGAUAGUUUUUUGUUGUUGUUGCUAACGUUUAGUUUUUCUAAACAAUCGUACAUGACAUAGAUCGAAAGCUGUGCAUGUGAUCUUGUUUGACAUAGAUAUCUCCACUCAUAAGUGUCUGUUCGAUUAGCUUUUACACAGAUGAGAGUUACAGCACAUCCAGGCCUUGGUGACUCUCUUGGUUGUGGAGUGAUCCACUCUGGCUGCCUUUCAAGCCGACAUCUUAGGCUGACUCAUUCUUUAUAAGGCUCUGUGCUAUACCACAGAAAGGACUUCCAGAAUUUAUUCAACAAUGUCCUAUUGUGGAGCAUCGGGGACCUCCAGAUUUGGGUCAUUAAACAAACAAAAAGCAAGGAAACAAACCCAUGCAGAUAGAUAAAGGUAGUUCCUGCAGAUAGAUAAGGGUAGUUCCUUCUGGUAGUGAGAGCCAGCAGGGGUCGGGGUGGCUGAACUGGGGUAGGAGGUGGGGGGGAUCAGAAAGCAGCAGGGGUCCUCUGCCGAGCCUCUGGUUAACCCUGCAUCUGCUGAUUCCUGGGAGGCUCCAGAUGGUUCCACAGAGAGGCCAAGGCAGCCCCAGUGGCCUGAGAAGGUUUGGUGGGCUUAGGGGAAGUAGCCGUUAGCCAACCACUGUAGAAAUCUCUCCCACCCUAUGGCCACCAGUAUGGUCACUCUGGUCAGAGCUGUCAAACACUGGCCCUGCUUCAGGGCCUCCACCUGCUUCCACCGCUGGAAAUUCAUGGCUGUGAACACUUGCGGUUUUAAAGGAAGCUCUUACCAGGCUUUUCUGGGAGGAUUUGGUUUUUAUGGAGAAUAAAGGCGAUAGACGGUAUUUGUGAGGUAAUUCUCCACACUAGGGUCUUCGCACCUGAUGCCCUGCGGCCCUCCUAGGAAGGUGCACACACAUUUAACAGCCUGAGGAAUAGACUCAGAUACCAGUAAUGACCCAAGUUCACAUAGCGGAUCAGAGGAUUCGUAGCUGGUUCUAUCAGCCCUUCAACCCCUCCUGGGUUCCUUUCAAUUUUAAUGGAAGUGUAGAUGCUGUUGGAACCCACAGGGCUGCACCCCCGGGGCCCAGUGCAGGCGAGCAUCUGUCGACACAAAUACACCUGGAAGUAGAUGGAGACAAGAGGUUGCCAUAGAAACGAAUCAAGGCAAAGAGGCCCAACGCCAAGGUGACUGAAGGCCAAGACCACUGUGGUCAAGAAUUAGGAAGCAGGUUUUGGUGGUGCACAUCUUUCACACCCGUACUCAGGAGGCAAAGGCUGGAGAGCUUCUGUGAGAUCCAGGCCAGUCUGGUCUACUCCGAGUUUCAGGUUAGCAAGAGACACAUGGAACAAACUUGCCUUAAGUAAAUAAAGACAUAAAAAUUUUAGAAGAGAAUCCAUGACACGUGGCUGGGGAGACAGCUCAGAUCUCUCACUUACUGCAUAUGCAAAUGGACCUGAGGUUUGAACCUGUGCACCCAGGUGUGGUGGUGUGGACCUAAACCCUGGCACUGGGGCAGGAGACAGAGACAGGCUCACUGCGGCUUGCCAGCCACAGACCUAGCAGACAAACACGCUCCAGGUUCAGGAGAAGCCCUGCUCGAAGGGAAUCUUUCUGACAUAUUUUCUCUGACCUCCGCCCCGGCAGAGGCACCCCACACACACACACACACAACACACGCACGCACGAUCUCCCCCCAGAAGGACACAUAGGAGGAAGGACACAUGACCAUCAGCUGUACCACUGAGCCCUUUGCUGGGCUAUGAGCCCUCCAUCAGUAAAAUGGGAUCCAUGAUACUGUUGGUCACCAACUCAGCCAGGCUGGCUGCCAGUGAGCUCUGAGGGGUCUCCGUUCUUCGUUUCCCAAGUCCUGGGAUUUCAAAACAGCGUCACUGGCCUGGCUCUUUAUGUAGGUCAGAGUAGUGACCAGUAACUGAUGACUGCAGUCUCUUACUCCUUUGCAAAACACUGAGAAACCUAUAUCUUUCUGUCUGCCUGUCUGUCUGUCUUUCUUUUUCUUUCUCUUCUUCCUUCUUUUCUUUCUUUCUUUUUUCUUCCUUCUGCUGCUUAAAAAUAUAUUUAUUUUUAUUUUUAGUUUUUUUAUGUGUAUGACUGUUUUGUCUUCAUGUAUGUGCCAAAUGUGUUACUCAUGUCCCAGAGGCCAGAAGAGGACAUGGGAGACCCUGGGACUGGAAUCACAGAUGGUCAUGAGUUGCUGUGUGGGCACUGGGGAUGGAAUCUCCUGUCUACCAGAAGAGCAACGAGUGCUCCUGACUGCUGAACUAGCUGCGCCAUGUUCGGUCUGUGUUUUUUAUUAUCAAUGAGCUGCACUAUAAUUCAUUAAUUCAUU